AACGAAUGCUGGCGGCAUGCCUAACACAUGCAAGUCGAACGAGACCUUCGGGUCUAGUGGCGCACGGGUGCGUAACGCGUGGGAACCUGCCCUUAGGUUCGGAAUAACUCCCUGAAAGGGGUGCUAAUACCGGAUAAUGUCUUCGGACCAAAGAUUUAUCGCCUUUGGAUGGGCCCGCGUUGGAUUAGCUAGUUGGUAGGGUAAAAGCCUACCAAGGCGUCGAUCCAUAGCUGGUCUGAGAGGAUGAUCAGCCACACUGGGACUGAGACACGGCCCAGACUCCUACGGGAGGCAGCAGUGGGGAAUAUUGGACAAUGGGCGAAAGCCUGAUCCAGCAAUGCCGCGUGAGUGAUGAAGGCCUUAGGGUUGUAAAGCUCUUUUACCCGGGAUGAUAAUGACAGUACCGGGAGAAUAAGCUCCGGCUAACUCCGUG
rnacentral:rRNA from 1 species